UCUGCACAUGUGUAUGACCAGCAUUUCAUUAGCUCUUGGGCCAAAUUUGUCAUUAUAGAGCCUAAGAUGCCAGCAUUGCUCUCAGGCUGUUAUUAUUUUAUUAUACCUGAGAUGCCAGCAUUAUCUGCAGGGAACAUAUUAGGAGUGUAUGCGGAUUCUAUUUUUCACAGUUUAUUUUAUGUUGAUGGAAUUAAAUUGUAUUUAUUCAGCUGACUUAUUUUAGCUAAAUAUUUGGUACUAUUAAGUACCUAAACUUAUCUUUUCCCCCUUUGUUAUUUAUUUAUCCGCUCACUGAGUAUGUUGUACUCACCCCUUAUAUUUCUUUUAAUAUUUCAGUUCCUUUUUGGUGAUCCGCUCAGCAGUCCUCAUCUCCUAGUUUAUCCUUCCUUCCACAUCGUCCACUCAGAGUCUAGAGGAGGUCGGACCAAUCUUAGGUCUUUUGUUAUUUCUUUUUGUAAUUUUGUUAGAUCAUGUAUAGAUUGUACAGCCCAAUGAAGAAGGUAUUGUGUUGUUGUAAAUGUAUUAUGGAUUGACUAGUCCAGCUUUCAGUUUUCUCUCCUAUAUGUUUUAUAAUUUGGAAUUAUAGCAGGUUACAUGUUUUUAUAUGUAUAAAUAUCAGGGGAAGUUUUGUCAGUUUUCCGGGUCAUAUCAGUCUCUACAGUUUGGGGUUUGGGUGUGACAAUUUUUGGUAUCAUAUCAAUCUCUACAGUUUGUGUUGUUAAGUUGGGCAACCAUGAGUUGUUAGUGGAUCUAAUUCCUUUGUGUCUACAAGAUCUGGAUGUCAUCCUAGGUAUGGACUGGUUAUCCCGUCAUCAUGCCACAAUAGAUUGCUUUGAGAAAUCAGUGGUAUUUAAUAGUCCAGAAGGGUCUAAGUUCACUUUCUUUGGGGAGAGGCGUUUACUUCCUUCUUAUGUGAUUUCUGCCAUGACUACUAGGAAGUUGCUUUGGAAGGGUUGUCAAGCAUACUUAGCCUAUGUGAUGGACAGUAGUCGGGAAGGACCUAAAUUGGAAGAUAUACCAGUAGUAAGCGAGUUUCCUGAUGUAUUUCCUGAAGAGCUUCCUGGGUUGCCUCCAGAUAGAGAGAUUGAAUUCUCUAUUGAUUUAAAUCCAGGUACAGCUCCUAUUUCUAUGGCACCAUACCGAAUGGCCCCAGCAGAAUUGAAGGAGUUAAAAGCACAAUUGCAGGAGCUACUUGAUAAAGGUUUCAUAAGACCCAGUGUUUCACCUUAGGGAGCCCCUAUGCUAUUUGUGAAGAAGAAGGAUGGUUCCUUAAGGUUGUGUAUUGACUACAGAGAAUUGAAUCGAGUCACUGUGCAAAACAAGUAUCCUUUACCCCGGAUUGAUGAUCUUUUUGAUCAGCCCCAAGGUGCUAAAGUAUUCUCUAAGAUUGAUUUGCGGUCUGGCUAUCAUCAAUUGAAGAUCAAGGAGUCUGAAAUACCUAAGACAGCCUUUAGAACUCGUUACGGGCAUUAUGAGUUUCUCGUUACGGGCAUUAUGAGUUUCUCGUUAUGCCUUUCGGGUUAACUAAUGCACCCGCUGCUUUUAUGGAUCUCAUGAAUAGGGUGUUCAAGCCCUACUUGGAUAGCUUUGUUAUUGUGUUUAUUGAUGACAUCUUAGUAUAUUCCCGUAGCAAGGAAGAGCAUGAGAAGCAUUUACGGAUAGUACUGCAAAUUUUGAGAGAUAAACAACUAUAUGCUAAAUUGAGCAAAUGUGAGUUCUGGCUUGAUCGGGUGGUUUUCUUGGGACAUGUUAUCUCAGUAGAUGGAGUUUUGGUUGAUCCUAAGAAGAUUGAAGCAGUAGUCAAUUGGGAUUCUCCAACUAAUGUUACAGAGGUUAGAAGUUUUCUGGGCUUAGCAAGAUAUUAUCGUCGCUUUGUUCAGGAUUUCUCCAUCAUUGCAGCACCAUUGACUAAACUCCUUCGAAAGAAUGCAAAGUUUGAAUGGUCAGAUGAAUGUCAAGAGAGUUUUGAGAAGCUUAAAACGUGUCUCACAUCAGCCCCAGUUCUUACCUUACCCUCAAGUACAGAUGGAUUUGUGGUGUAUAGUGAUGCUUCUCACAAGGGUUUAGGCUGUGUACUCAUGCAACAUGGGAAGGUGAUAGCUUAUGCUUCUAGACAGCUUAGACCACAUGAAUUAAAUUAUCCCACCCAUGAUCUGGAAUUAGCUGCAGUUGUGUUUGCAUUAAAGACAUGGAGGCAUUAUCUUUAUGGCGUGACUUGCCAGAUUUUUACAGAUCAUAAGAGUUUGAAGUAUCUUCUCACACAGAAGGAGUUGAAUUUAAGGCAGAGACGGUGGAUUGAGUUACUUAAGGACUACGACUGUACUAUUAAAUAUCAUCCAGGUAAAGCUAAUGUGGUAGCUGAUGCCCUUAGUCGCAAGUCCUUUAGUAAUUUGGCUUAUCUCAAAACAGUUCGGCUUCCUUUGUUACUAGAGAUCAGAUCCUUAAGAGUAGAACUAGCAGUGGAUGAUGCAGGAGCAUUGUUAGCAACUCUCAAAGUUCGACCAGUUUUGAUAGAAAAAGUUAGAGAAGCCCAAAAUCAAGAUGAGCAGUUAAGUAAGAUCAGUAAUGAAGUAAGAGAUGGCAUCCGUACCGACUUUUCUCUAAGGGAGGAUGAGACUUUAAUGUUUGGUGAUAGACUAUGUGUACCCAGAGUGGAAAGCUUGAAGAGAGAGAUUAUGGAGGAAGCCCAUUGCUCUGCUUACUCUAUGCAUCCAGGAAGCACAAAAAUGUACAGAGAUCUUAGAGAAAACUAUUGGUGGCCAGGUAUGAAGAAAGAAAUAGCUGACUUUGUGUCCACAUGCUUAGUUUGUCAACAGAUUAAAGCAGAACAUCAACAUCCAACAGGAAAGUUGCAACCGCUCUCUAUUCCAGAAUGGAAGUGGGAACACAUUACUAUGGAUUUUGUUUCUGGGUUACCUCGUACUUCGCAUGGACAUAAUGCAAUAUGGGUGAUAGUUGAUAGAUUAACCAAGUCAGCACACUUUUUGCCUGUCAGGAUGGAUUAUUCUUUAGACAAGUUAGCAGAGACCUAUGUCAAUGAGAUUGUAAGACUUCAUGGUGCUCCAGUUUCUAUUGUUUUAGAUAGAGAUCCAAGAUUCACUUCUCGUUUUUGGCCUAGUUUGCAAAAUGCUUUAGGCACCAAGUUGAAGUUUAGCACUUCCUUUCACCCUCAAACUGAUGGUCAAUCAGAAAGAACUAUUCAGACCUUGGAGGAUAUGCUGAGAGCUUGUGUGAUGGAGUUUAGAGGAAGUUGGGAUAGGUAUGUGCAUUUAAUGGAGUUCUCUUAUAACAAUAGUUAUCAUUCGAGUAUCGGCAUGGCUCCUUACGAAACUUUGUAUGGGAGAAGAUGCAGAACACCAUUGUGUUGGAAUGAGGUAGGGGAAAGACAAUUAGAAGGUCCAGAACUAGUACAACACACUACAGAUAAAAUUCAGAUGAUCAAAAGUAGAUUAAAAGCAGCACAAGACAGACAGAAGAGUUAUGCAGAUCUGAAGAGAAGGGGUAUUGAAUAUAAUGUUGGCGACAAGGUAUUUCUAAAGAUCUCUCCUUGGAAAGGGGUUGUACAUUUUGGCAAACGUGGAAAAUUGAGUCCGCGAUUCAUAGGACCAUAUGAGAUUUUAGAGAGAAUUGGACCAGUUGCUUAUCGUUUAGCACUACCUCCAGAGCUAUCUCAGAUUCAUGAUGUCUUCCAUGUAUCUAUGUUAAGGAGAUACAGAAGUGACCCUUCCCACAUCCUCCAGAAACAGCCUAUCGAGUUGAGGGAAGAUUUAACAUAUGAAGAAGAGCCAGUAGAGAUCAUUGCCAGAGAAGAGAAGGUUUUAAGGAGCAAGAUAAUACCCCUGGUUAAAGUUCGAUGGAGUAACCAUUCUGCUAAAGAAGCUACCUGGGAAAAAGAAGAGAAUAUACGAAUUCAAUUCCCACAUUUAUUCCCUUCACCAGGUAUGUAAAAUUUCGAGGACGAAAUUUCUAUUAGGAGGAGAGAAUUAUCAGGCCCAGGCCUAUAAAAAAAAUAUAUAUAUAGAGAGAGCAUUAAAGCUCUGGUUUCGGGAAUGUCCCAAAACAUUCCCGAAACCAAAGCAUGCUGUCUUCCUCCCUCGUGAAAUAGAGCAGAAACUCUGUUAUUCUAAAAAAAAAAAAAAAAAUUCCUCUUUUAAAUCCAAAUCUCCACCCCCUCAACUCAAUCAACCCACAAACUUCUAAGAUCCUUCAGCUAGAUCCUGAUUAAACCUAUAUCCUGCUAAGAAAUUCAAUAAUUUCUUCCAGAGACUCCAAAUUGGAUAGGUGAGUUUUAUCCCUUUUAUUCAAAUUUUUACGAUAUAAUUUAUUUUCUCUACCCUUUUAAUAGUGAUUUUUGGUAAUUUGAGAAUUAAAAGGGUAUAUGUUUUAGUUAGAUCCAAUUAAUGAGUUUUAAUAUUUCUUUUUGGGAUGAUGAUUUUUUAUAAGUUAUUGAGUAUUUUUGUUGAGUUUGGGUAUUUUUGGGAGGAAUAACUAUGCCGAAAUACUGCCGAAAUUUUCUUAAAAAUAUAUAUAAAUAUAUAUUUAAAAUUUCGUAUUUUACGUUUUAUAUUAUUGUCCUAGAGUAUUUUUUUAUUAUUAUUUGAUAUAUUAUUUAUUUUUUCUUUUUAAUUCUAGGAGAGGAUCCAGCUUCCAGGAUAGAUAAUAGGGGUCCUCCUGCGACCUAGGUCUUUUGUCCCAAGUAUUCUGGUGAGUGGAUAAAUAUAUAACAUUGAUAUUUUUCUUAAAUAUAUUUAUAUGUGUAUAUGUUACUUUGUUUAUUUAAAAUGGGAAAUGAUAAAGUUAAUUUAUAUUUCUUAAAUAAAUGAAAAUUGAAUUUAAAACACAGCUGAAUAAAUAGCCGAUUACACUCUGUAUAUGCACCGAACAGAUAACACCUUGAUGACAGGUGAUUUAUUUUCAGCAUGAUAUAUAUAUUUAUACUGUCUUUGGGACAACGCUUGAUAUACAGACAACCUUUGGGGCGUAUGUCAAGUGGUCACCCUUUGGGGGUAGCUCUGCACAUGUGUAUGACCAGCAUUUCAUUAGCUCUUGGGCCAAAUUUGUCAUUAUAGAGCCUAAGAUGCCAGCAUUGCUCUCAGGCUGUUAUUAUUUUAUUAUACCUGAGAUGCCAGCAUUAUCUGCAGGGAACAUAUUAGGAGUGUAUGCGGAUUCUAUUUUUCACAGUUUAUUUUAUGUUGAUGGAAUUAAAUUGUAUUUAUUCAGCUGACUUAUUUUAGCUAAAUAUUUGGUACUAUUAAGUACCUAAACUUAUCUUUUCCCCCUUUGUUAUUUAUUUAUCCGCUCACUGAGUAUGUUGUACUCAC
rnacentral:lncRNA from 1 species